rnacentral:rRNA from 1 species
GACGAACGCUGGCGGCAUGCCUAACACAUGCAAGUCGAGCGAGUUGAUCCCUUCGGGGUGAUGCUAGCGGCGGACGGGUGAGUAACACGUGGGCAACCUACCUCAUAGAGGGGAAUAGCCUUCCGAAAGGAAGAUUAAUACCGCAUAAGAUUGUAGCUUCGCAUGAAGCAGCAAUUAAAGGAGCAAUCCGCUAUGAGAUGGGCCCGCGGCGCAUUAGCUAGUUGGUGAGGUAACGGCUCACCAAGGCGACGAUGCGUAGCCGACCUGAGAGGGUGAUCGGCCACAUUGGGACUGAGACACGGCCCAGACUCCUACGGGAGGCAGCAGUGGGGAAUAUUGCACAAUGGGGGAAACCCUGAUGCAGCAAUGCCGCGUGAGUGAUGACGGCCUUCGGGUUGUAAAGCUCUGUCUUCGGGGACGAUAAUGACGGUACCCGAGGAGGAAGCCACGGCUAACUACGUGCCAGCAGCCGCAGUAA